rnacentral:rRNA from 1 species
UACGAGGGGGGCAAGCGUUGUUCGGAAUUAUUGGGCGUAAAGGGUGCGUAGGCGGUCUGAUAAGUCAUCUGUGAAAUCUAUGGGCUCAACCCAUAGUCUGCAGGCGAAACUGUCGGGCUUGAGUAUGGGAGAGGUGAGUGGAAUUCCUGGUGUAGCGGUGAAAUGCGUAGAUAUCAGGAGGAACACCUGUGGUGUAGACGGCUUUCUGGACCAUAACUGACGCUGAGACACGAAAGCGUGGGUAGCAAACAGG